rnacentral:rRNA from 1 species
UACGUAGGGCGCAAGCGUUGUCCGGAUUUACUGGGCGUAAAGAGCGCGCAGGCGGCUGGUCAAGUCCGAUGUGAAAUCUCCCGGCUCAACUGGGAGACUGCAUCGGAAACUGAUCGGCUUGAAGAUGGGAGAGGGUAGUGGAAUUCCCGGUGUAGUGGUGAAAUGCGUAGAUAUCGGGAGGAACACCAGUGGCGAAGGCGACUACCUGGCCCAUUCUUGACGCUGAGGCGCGAAAGCUAGGGGAGCGAACGGG